AAUCAACAUCUUUACAUGCAAAUGCCAUCAAAAGGACUUUUCCAAGGCUUGUAAUGAGGUUGGGCUAACAAGAAAGAAUUGGUUUUUCUAAAAUGCAAAAUCCUUGAAUCAAGAGAGCUAACAAAAUUUUCAACGUUUAAGCACCACUCUCACCAAUGUCUCUCAUUCCCAAUUUUUCCCAUUUCUUUUUCUUUUGCAUUGAGCUCUUCUUCAUGCUUUUCUUCUUUUCUUUUCUUUUUCUCAUGAAUUUUCUCUUUUCACAACAAUUGAGCUCAAUGUCUUUCAUUUGCUUUUUCAAUUUUCCCCCGUACAACCCCAAACUUGAACCUUUUCAUCACAUACAAGUUAGCUCAUCCCAACUCAAGGUAAAGAAUUUCAAAACAAGGGAUCACAUCCUGUUUAAGGCUAAGGUUCAAAAAGGGUAUAAUAUUU
rnacentral:lncRNA from 1 species